GUUGAAGAACGUAGCGAAAUGCGAUAAGUAAUGUGAAUUGCAGAAUUCAGUGAAUCAUCGAAUCUUUGAACGCACAUUGCGCCCGCCAGUAUUCUGGCGGGCAUGCCUGUUCGAGCGUCAUUACAACCCUCAGGCCCCCGGGCCUGGCGUUGGGGAUCGGCGGAGCCCCCCGUGGGCACACGCCGUCCCCCAAAUACAGUGGCGGUCCCGCCGCAGCUUCCAUCGCGUAGUAGCUAACACCUCGCGACUGGAGAGCGGCGCGGCCACGCCGUAAAACACCCAACUCUUCUGAAGUUGACCUCGAAUCAGGUAGGAAUACCCGCUGAACUUAAGCAUAUCAAUAAGCGGAGGA
rnacentral:misc_RNA from 1 species